CGGCAACGGGGUAGUUAGGCGCAGGUACGUACCCUCUGGUUGGGGAUAGCCACGGGAAACUGUGGGCAAUACCCAAUGAUCCGGUAACGGCAAAGGUGAGAUUCCGCCGGAGGAGCGGUCUGCGUGGUAUUAGCUUGUUGGUGAGGUAAUGGCUCACCAAGGCGAAGAUGCCUAGGGGGUGUGAGAGCAUGGCCCCCCCCACUGGGACUGAGACACUGCCCAGACACCUACGGGUGGCUGCAGUCGAGAAUCUUUGGCAAUGCACGCAAGUGUGACCAAGCGACGCCGAGUGCUGGAUGAAGGCCUUCGGGUUGUAAACAGCUGUCAGAGGGGAUGAAAUUGUUGGGGGCUAUCCCUCUUCAUUGACAAAGCCUCAGAGGAAGCGCGGGCUAAGUUCGUGCCAGCAGCCGCGGUAAUACGAACUGCGCGAACGUUAUUCGGAAUCACUGGGCUUAAAGGGUGCGUAGGCGGCCUGUUAAGUAGGGUGUGAAAUUUGUCGGCUCAACCGGCAAACUGCAUUCUAAACUGGCAGGCUUGAGUGAGUCAGGGGUGUGCGGAACUUCCGGUGGAGCGGUGAAAUGCGUUGAUAUCGGAAGGAACGCCGGUGGCGAAAGCGGCACACUGGGGCUUUUCUGACGCUGAGGCACGAAAGCUAGGGGAGCGAACAGGAUUAGAUACCCUGGUAGUCCUAGCUGUAAA
rnacentral:rRNA from 1 species